rnacentral:rRNA from 1 species
CAGCAGCCGCGGUAAUACGGGGGGAGCAAGCGUUGUUCGGAUUCAUUGGGCGUAAAGAGCUCGUAGGCGGCUCUAUAAGUCGGUGGUGAAAUAUCACGGCUCAACCGUGAAAACGCCUCCGAAACUGUGGAGCUUGAGGCCGGGAGAGGAAAUCGGAAUUCCUGGUGUAGCGGUGAAAUGCGUAGAUAUCAGGAGGAACACCGGUGGCGAAGGCGGAUUUCUGGACCGGUUCUGACGCUCAGGAGCGAAAGCCAGGGGAGCAAACAGGAUUAGAUACCCUGGUAGUCCUGGCUGUAAACGAUGGGCACUAGGUGUGGGGGGAUCGACCCCUUCCGUGCCGCAGUUAACGCAUUAAGUGCCCCGCCUGGGGAGUACGACCGCAAGGUUGAAACUUAAAGGAAUUGACGG